AGGGUGUGGUUUGCUGGCACAGCGUCCGCCCCAAGUAUUUUUCACCCAUGUCUUUUGCGCACUUUUUGUUUCCUGGGCGAGUUCGCUCGCCACCAGGACCCAACCAUAAACCUUUUUUUUAUGCAGUUGCAAUCAGCGUCAGUAUAAUAAUUCAAUUUAUUAAAACUUUCAACAACGGAUCUCUUGGUUCUGGCAUCGAUGAAGAACGCAGCA
rnacentral:misc_RNA from 1 species